rnacentral:lncRNA from 1 species
AUCCUCCGCUGGUGGGUGUACUGUGAAACAGAACCGCAUGCGUGCCUGGAAAUGCCAGAUCCUGAACCUCCAGCCUCACUGCGCCUAUUGGCAGAAAACUUCUCACACUUCUCUUUGUAUUCAGAAGUGUUUCAAGUUUCCUGCCACUUCCUCAAAACAUAAUCAGGGGUUGCAAGAUUCUUCGCCUUUCCUUUCCGGAUUUCCCACAUUAAGCCCCUGUAUCGCUCAGCGUCUUU